rnacentral:misc_RNA from 1 species
UCUCCGUUGGUGAACCAGCGGAGGGAUCAUUACAGAGUUGCAAAACUCCAACAAACCAUCGCGAAUCUUACCCGUACGGUUGCCUCGGCGCUGGCGGUCCGGAAGGCCCUCGGGCCCCCCCGGAUCCUCGGGUCUCCCGCUCGCGGGAGGCUGCCCGCCGGAGUGCCGAAGCCAAACUCUUGAUAUUUUAUGUCUCUCUGAGUAAACUUUUAAAUAAGUCAAAACUUUCAACAACGGAUCUCUUGGUUCUG